rnacentral:misc_RNA from 1 species
UCCAGCUUAUCGCUGGCAGUCUCCUUAGAGUUCCCGGCAUAACCCGUUGGCAACUAAGGAUAGUGGUUGCGCUCGUUGCGGGACUUAACCCAACACUUCACAGCACGAGCUGACGACAGCCAUGCAGCACCUGUGCAAGACUCCGAUUGGAUACGGUCGGCCCAACUUUCAUCAGGCCUACUUCAAGCAUGUCAAGCCUAGGUAAGGUUCUUCGCGUAGCCUCGAAUUAAACCACAUGCUCCACCGCUUGUGCGGGUCCCCGUCAAUUCCUUUGAGUUUCAGUCUUGUGACCGUACUCCCCAGGUGGUGGAUUUAAUGCGUUAGCGUCGGCGCUGAGAGGAUCGACACUCCCAACACCUAAUCCACAUCGUUUACGGCUAGGACUAC